rnacentral:tRNA from 1 species
UGGGUCGAGCUGGAUUUGAACCAGCGUGGACAAAUAUUGUCAACGAAUUUACAGUCCGUCCCCUUUGACCACACUCGGGAAUCGACCC